rnacentral:rRNA from 1 species
UCGAGCGAAUGAUGAAGAAGCUUGCUUCUUCUGAUUUAGCGGCGGACGGGUGAGUAACACGUGGGCAACCUACCUAGUAGAUUGGGAUAACUCCGGGAAACCGGGGCUAAUACCGAAUAAUCCAUUUUGUCACAUGGCAAAAUGCUGAAAGGCGGUUUCGGCUGUCACUACUAGAUGGGCCCGCGGUGCAUUAGCUAGUUGGUGGGGUAACGGCCUACCAAGGCAACGAUGCAUAGCCGACCUGAGAGGGUGAUCGGCCACAUUGGGACUGAGACACGGCCCAAACUCCUACGGGAGGCAGCAGUAGGGAAUCUUCCACAAUGGACGAAAGUCUGAUGGAGCAACGCCGCGUGAGUGAUGAAGGUUUUCGGAUCGUAAAACUCUGUUGUAAGGGAAGAACAAGUACGUUAGUAACUGAACGUACCUUGACGGUACCUUAUUAGAAAGCCACGGCUAACUACGUGCCAGCAGCCGCGGUAAUACGUAGGUGGCAAGCGUUGUCCGGAUUUAUUGGGCGUAAAGCGCGCGCAGGUGGUUUCUUAAGUCUGAUGUGAAAGCCCACGGCUCAACCGUGGAGGGUCAUUGGAAACUGGGAGACUUGAGUGCAGAAGAGGAAAGUGGAAUUCCAAGUGUAGCGGUGAAAUGCGUAGAGAUUUGGAGGAACACCAGUGGCGAAGGCGACUUUCUGGUCUGUAACUGACACUGAGGCGC